rnacentral:rRNA from 1 species
CCUACGGGAGGCAGCAGUGAGGAAUAUUGGUCAAUGGGCGGAAGCCUGAACCAGCCAAGUAGCGUGCGGGAUGAAGGCCCUACGGGUCGUAAACCGCUUUUGCACGGGGAUAACACCCUCUACUUGUGGAGGUCUGAAGGUACCGUGCGAAUAAGGGCCGGCUAAUUCCGUGCCAGCAGCCGCGGUAAUACGGAAGGCCCAAGCGUUAUCCGGAUUUAUUGGGGUUAAAGGGAGCGUAGGCGGGCGGUUCAGUUAGCCGGUAAAUCGCGGGGCUCAACCCGCGCACCGCAUUUGAUACUGGACGCCUUGAGAUCACUACUGGCAGGCGGAAUUCGUGGUGUAGCGGUGAAAUGCAUAGAUAUCACGAGGAACCCCGAUUGCGAAGGCAGCCUGCCGGGGUGCGUCUGACGCUGAGGCUCGAAGGUGCGGGUAUCAAACAGGAUUAGAUACCCCAGUAGUC